rnacentral:rRNA from 1 species
GACGAACGCUGGCGGCGUGCUUAACACAUGCAAGUCGAACGGUGAAGCGCCUUCCUUUUUGGUGGGUGUGGAUGAGUGGCGAACGGGUGAGUAACACGUGAGUAACCUGCCCCCUUCUUCUGGAUAACCGCAUGAAAGUGUGGCUAAUACGGGAUAUUCUGGGUCUGUCGCAUGAUGGGUCUGGGAAAGAUAUUGUUUCGGUGGGGGAUGGGCUCGCGGCCUAUCAGCUUGUUGGUGGGGUGAUGGCCUACCAAGGCGGUGACGGGUAGCCGGCCUGAGAGGGUGGACGGUCACACGGGGACUGAGACACGGCCCAGACUCGUACGGGAGGCAGCAGUGGGGAAUAUUGCACAAUGGGCGCAAGCCUGAUGCAGCGACGCCGCGUGAGGGAUGGAGGCCUUCGGGUUGUGAACCUCUUUCGCCAGUGAAGCAGGCCUGCCUCGUUUGUGGGUGGGUUGACGGUAGCUGGAUAAGAAGCGCCGGCUAACUACGUG